rnacentral:rRNA from 1 species
GUCUACGGCCAUACCACCCUGAAUGCUCCUGAUCUCGGAAGCUAAGCAGGGUCAGGCCUGGUUAGUACUUGGAUGGGAGAAAUAGCUUAGACA